CUCCCGGAUGUUAGCGGCGGACGGGUGAGUAACACGUGGGUAACCUGCCUGUAAGACUGGGAUAACUCCGGGAAACCGGAGCUAAUACCGGAUAGUUCCUUGAACCGCAUGGUUCAAGGAUGAAAGACGGUUUCGGCUGUCACUUACAGAUGGACCCGCGGCGCAUUAACUAGUUGGUGAGGUAACGGCUCACCAAGGCGACGAUGCGUAGCCGACCUGAGAGGGUGAUCGGCCACACUGGGACUGAGACACGGCCCAGACUCCUACGGGAGGCAGCAGUAGGGAAUCUUCCGCAAUGGACGAAAGUCUGACGGAGCAACGCCGCGUGAGUGAUGAAGGUUUUCGGAUCGUAAAGCUCUGUUGUUAGGGAAGAACAAGUGCAAGAGUAACUGCUUGCACCUUGACGGUACCUAACCAGAAAGCCACGGCUAACUACGUGCCAGCAGCCGCGGUAAUACGUAGGUGGCAAGCGUUGUCCGGAAUUAUUGGGCGUAAAGGGCUCGCAGGCGGUUUCUUAAGUCUGAUGUGAAAGCCCCCGGCUCAACCGGGGAGGGUCAUUG
rnacentral:rRNA from 1 species